rnacentral:rRNA from 1 species
GACGAACGCUGGCGGCGUGCUUAACACAUGCAAGUCGAACGGAAAGGCCCUGCUUUUGUGGGGUGCUCGAGUGGCGAACGGGUGAGUAACACGUGAGUAACCUGCCCUUGACUUUGGGAUAACUUCAGGAAACUGGGGCUAAUACCGGAUAGGAGCUCCUGCUGCAUGGUGGGGGUUGGAAAGUUUCGGCGGUUGGGGAUGGACUCGCGGCUUAUCCGCUUGUUGGUGGGGUAGUGGCUUACCAAGGCUUUGACGGGUAGCCGGCCUGGGAGGGUGGCCAGCCACAUUGGGACUGAGAUACGGCCCAGACUCCUACUGGAGGCAGCAGUGGAGAAUAUUGCACAAUGGGCGGAAGCCUGAUGCAGCAACGCCGCGUGCGUGAUGACCGCCUUCGGGUUGUAAACCGCUUUCGCCGGUGACGAAGCGUGAGUGACGGUAAUGGGUAAAGAAGCACCGGCUAACUACGUG